rnacentral:rRNA from 1 species
AUGGAGACGGGGGAGGCGGGAGACCCGGGUGGAUGGCUCGACCGAUGGAACCAACUUGCAGGUCAUCGCCAAAAUCGUCGGUCAAAAAGAUCCAGACGCCCGCCAUUAUAUAAUGGCCACCCCACUCGCCGCUCUUUCCCCAUGCCCAUCUCCUGUUUCCGCCCCCAACAAAGCGUGUCCCUCCUCGCCUCCUUCCUCCUUCCUCCUCACCCUCCUCAUCCGGCCGCGAAGCCAAGGGAAAGCAAGCAGAGCAACCAGAGAUGCAGCGAUAGACGCUGUAAAGAGAAUAGAUACGACGCGGACCUCCAUCCAAAACGACGAUAA